AUAGGGGAGCCGUAGGGAAACCGAGUCUUAAUAGGGCGUUUAGUUGCUGGGUAUAGACCCGAAACCAGGUGAUCUAUCCAUGAGCAGGUUGAAGGUUGGGUAACACUAACUGGAGGACCGAACCCACUGUCGUUGAAAAGCCAGGGGAUGACUUGUGGAUAGGGGUGAAAGGCUAAUCAAACUUGGUGAUAGCUGGUUCUCCCCGAAAGCUAUUUAGGUAGCGCCUCGGACGAAUACCAUUGGGGGUAGAGCACUGUUUCGGCUAGGGGGUCAUCCCGACUUACCAAACCGAUGCAAACUCCGAAUACCAAUGAGUACUAUCCGGGAGACAGACUGCGGGUGCUAACGUCCGUAGUCAAGAGGAAAACAAUCCAGACCGCCAGCUAAGGCCCCAAAAUUAUAGUUAAGUGGGAAACGAUGUGGGAAGGCAUAGACAGCUAGGAGGUUGGCUUAGAAGCAGCCACCCUUUAAAGAAAGCGUAAUAGCUCACUAGUCGAGUCGGCCUGCGCGGAAGAUGUAACGGGGCUAAAACUAUAUGCCGAAGCUGCGGAUGCAUAAUUUAUUAUGCGUGGUAGGGGAGCGUUCUGUAAGCCGAUGAAGGUGGAUUGAGAAGUCUGCUGGAGGUAUCAGAAGUGCGAAUGCUGACGUGAGUAACGACAAUGCGAGUGAAAAACUCGCACGCUGAAAGACCAAGGGUUCCAGUCCAACGUUAAUCGGGGCUGGGUGAGUCGACCCCUAAGGCGAGGCCGAGAGGCGUAGUCGAUGGGAAAUUGGUUAAUAUUCCAAUACUUCUGUGUAAUGCGAUGAGAGGACGGAGAAGGUUAAGUCAGCCUGGCGUUGGUUGUCCAGGUGGAAGGUUGUAGGCAUGUAUCUUAGGCAAAUCCGGGGUACUCUAUGCUGAGAACUGAUAGCAAGCUGUACUUGUACAGUGAAGUGGCUGAUACCAUGCUUCCAGGAAAAGUCUCUAAGCUUCAGUUACACAGGAAUCGUACCCGAAACCGACACAGGUGGUCAGGUCGAGUAGACCAAAGCGCUUGAGAGAACUCUGCUGAAGGAACUAGGCAAAAUGGUACCGUAACUUCGGGAGAAGGUACGCUGUUGUCUGUGAUAGGACUUGCUCCUUGAGCGGCCGACAGCCUCAGAAACCAGGCCCCUGCAACUGUUUAUUAAAAACAUAGCACUCUGCAAACACGAAAGUGGACGUAUAGGGUGUGAUGCCUGCCCGGUGCUGGAAGGUUAAUUGAUGGGGUUAGCGUAAGCGAAGCUCUUGAUCGAAGCCCCAGUAAACGGCGGCCGUAACUAUAACGGUCCUAAGGUAGCGAAAUUCCUUGUCGGGUAAGUUCCGACCUGCACGAAUGGCAUAAUGAUGGGGGCGCUGUCUCCAGCAGAGACUCAGUGAAAUCGAAUUCGCCGUGAAGAUGCGGUGUACCCGCGGCUAGACGGAAAGACCCCGUGAACCUUUACUGCAGCUUGACAUUGAACUUUGAUCUUACUUGUGUAGGAUAGGUGGGAGGCUUUGAAGUCGCGACGCUAGUUGCGAUGGAGCCGUCCUUGAAAUACCACCCUGGUAAUAUUGAGGUUCUAACUCUGUCCCGUUAUCCGGGACGAGGACCAUGUCUGGUGGGUAGUUUGACUGGGGCGGUCUCCUCCUAAAGAGUAACGGAGGAGUACGAAGGUGCGCUCAGCGUGGUCGGAAAUCACGCGUAGAGUAUAAAGGCAAAAGCGCGCUUAACUGCGAGACCCACAAGUCGAGCAGGUACGAAAGUAGGUCUUAGUGAUCCGGUGGUUCUGUAUGGAAGGGCCAUCGCUCAACGGAUAAAAGGUACUCUGGGGAUAACAGGCUGAUACCGCCCAAGAGUUCAUAUCGACGGCGGUGUUUGGCACCUCGAUGUCGGCUCAUCUCAUCCUGGGGCUGAAGCAGGUCCCAAGGGUAUGGCUGUUCGCCAUUUAAAGAGGUACGCGAGCUGGGUUUAGAACGUCGUGAGACAGUUCGGUCCCUAUCUACCGUGGGCGUUGGAAAUUUGAGAGGAUCUGCUCCUAGUACGAGAGGACCAGAGUGGACGAACCUCUGGUGUACCGGUUGUCACGCCAGUGGCAUCGCCGGGUAGCUAUGUUCGGAAGGGAUAACCGCUGAAAGCAUCUAAGCGGGAAGCCUACCUCAAGAUAAGAUUUCCCCGAGACUUUAUGUCUCCUAAAGAGCCGUUGAAGACUACGACGUUGAUAGGUUGGAUGUGGAAGCAUAGUGAUAUGUGAAGCUGACCAAUACUAAUUGCUCGUGAGGCUUGACUAU
rnacentral:rRNA from 1 species